ACCUGAAAUAAGCAAGGUUACCCGCUGAACUUAAGA
rnacentral:rRNA from 1 species